rnacentral:rRNA from 1 species
GAUAGGUUCGGUAGCUAACCUGCGGAAGGAUCAUUA